rnacentral:piRNA from 4 species
CUGGUUCGAUUCCGGCUCGAAGGA